AUACGUAGGGGGCGAGCGUUGUCCGGAAUGAUUGGGCGUAAAGCGAGCGCAGGCGGUUUCUUAAGUCUGAUGUGAAAGCCCCCGGCUCAACCGGGGAGGGUCAUUGGUAACUGGGCGAAUUGAGUGCAGAAGAGGCGAGUGGAAUUCCAUGUGUAGAGGUGAAAUGCGUAGAUAUAUGGAGGAAAACCAGUGGCGAAGGCGACUCUCUGGUCUGUAACUGACGCUGAGGCUCGAAAGCGUGGGGAGCAAACAGGAUUAGAUACCCUGGUAGUCCACGCCGUAAACGAUGAGUGCUAAGUGUUGGAGGGUUUCCGCCCUUCAGUGCUGCAGCUAACGCAUUAAGCACUCCGCCUGGGGAGUACGACCGCAAGGUUGAAACUCAAAUGAAUUGGCGGGG
rnacentral:rRNA from 1 species